CACAUCCCCAGCCCUAUUUUGUAUUUUAUUUAGAGACAGGGUCUCACUGAGUUGCUUAGCACCUCACUUUUGCUGAGGCUGGCUUUGAAUUUGUGAUCCUCCUGCCUCAGACUCCGGAGCCCCUGGGAUUACAGGCAUGACCACAUUGCCUGGCUUCAGCACAUGAAGCUUUUGGGGGGCAUUUCAUAUGGAAACCAAAAUAUACAGUAAUCUGUGUAUGUAGCUUUUUUGUUUGUUUGUUUGUGGGGUGAGGGGAUUACUGUGCCAAUAUUUGGAUCUCUCUAAUUCCUAACAGAGGACUUUACAUAUUACAAGCCACAGUGAACAGAUGUUUCAGGGGAGCCCUUAUGGUGAAAGAGUUUGCAAAAAUUAAGAUUUUCCUCUCGUUAUUAUGUGUUCACUUUGCUUAACAUAAGAUUCAGCUAUUCAGGGCUGAGGUUGUGGCUCAGUAGAGCGCUCACCUAGCACGUGCGAGGCCCUGGGUUCAAUCCUCAGCACCAC
rnacentral:lncRNA from 1 species